rnacentral:misc_RNA from 1 species
UUUUUUUUUUUUUUUUUCUUCGUUUUUGGUAGAAAAGGGGAGAAACUCAAAAAUCCCUACAAAGCACCAGCCCGAGAAUAUGAAACUCCAGAGGAGGCAUGAAGGAGCCAAGAAGUAAUUCCAGCAGAAGGAGCUUCUAAGACAUGCAGUCCCAUAGGCAAAGUGGAAGCAAACUCAGCUAGGCAAUCAGUACAGAAGAUGGCUUCUCUGUAGAUGUGACAAACGCGAACCUUCCAAUCCAAACUAAUCAAAUUCUUGAUGGAAGCCAAAAGAGCACGAACACUUCCUUGGGGUCAGAGGUCAGAGGUACAAGAAGGAAAAUAAUGUAGUUCAUAGCAGUGAAAAUCAAGGAAGAAAAAGGAGUUCACAGCUCAUCAGAGGAAAAAGAAAAAAAAAAUAGCAUCUCCUAUUUAAUUUUCCUUUUUUCCAGAGAAAUUUGGUACAGUUUUCAUGAUUCAGUACUCACCAUUUUCUUUUCUAGCUGAAAUUAGAAAUAUCUUGCAUAUAUAUAUAAAACAUUCGAGAGGGAAAAAUUUUAAUAAAAACAAAAAAUUACAAAGUGCAAUUUGAUCAAAGUCUUAAAGAUAAAUCAAGUUGGCUUAACUCUUCUUGAACAUUUUCAGGUCUGUAACCCAUGGACCAAGAACCAUCUCUAGAACCACCAUAAUUCAUCUCCCUCCUUCCAUAUCCCAUUUCAUCAACAAACCUACCAGCAUGUCCAUGGUGAUCAAAACCUGCUUGAUUACCUAGAACAUGGUUGAACCCACUCAUGCUAGAUGAUCCAGACCGAGAGUUAGACCCUCCAUGAGCUCGGACAGCUGAACUUAGCUCUCUGCUUUUUUUGGCUAAGGUUCUCUCGAGCUUGUGAGCAUUUUGGUGACCACCAAGAGCCUGAGAGCUGUAAAACUUUCUUUGACAAUAGUUGCAAGAGAAAACCCGAGGCUCUGCAGGACUACGAGGUGAAGUGGAAGAAGAAGAGGAAAGCUCGAGGACAAGUUCUAGGUUUAGUUGAUUUUUGGGUUGGAAAUCCAUGGCCCCAGAAAGUGAUGAGGAUAAAAAGUAAAUUGUACACGGCAAGAGAUGGGCUAGAUAGCUUGAUGUAACAAAUGAAGAGAAGUGAUGACGAUAAUAUGAGAGAGAGAGAAAGAGAGAGGAGUAUGUAUGUAGGAAUAAAGCAAGAAAGGGGAAGGCCUAUUGAAGAGAAAAGAGAAGAGAGGCGGAGAAUAGAUAUAAUAACAAAGAAGAACGUUUGUCUUGCAAUAUAAGAGGCACAGGGGUUCACUGUUUCAGCAAACCACAUAUAGCAAGCAAGAUAUAAGGUAAAAGGGAUGGCACUGUUAG